rnacentral:rRNA from 1 species
AUUGAACGCUGGCGGCAUGCUUUACACAUGCAAGUCGGACGGCAGCACAGAGAAGCUUGCUUCUUGGGUGGCGAGUGGCGAACGGGUGAGUAAUAUAUCGGAACGUACCGAGUAAUGGGGGAUAACUAAUCGAAAGAUUAGCUAAUACCGCAUAUUCUCUGAGGAGGAUAGCAGGGGACCUUCGGGCCUUGCGUUAUUCGAGCGGCCGAUAUCUGAUUAGCUAGUUGGUGGGGUAAAGGCCUACCAAGGCGACGAUCAGUAGCGGGUCUGAGAGGAUGAUCCGCCACACUGGGACUGAGACACGGCCCAGACUCCUACGGGAGGCAGCAGUGGGGAAUUUUGGACAAUGGGCGCAAGCCUGAUCCAGCCAUGCCGCGUGUCUGAAGAAGGCCUUCGGGUUGUAAAGGACUUUUGUCAGGGAAGAAAAGGCUGUUGCUAAUACCGACAGCUGAUGACGGUACCUGAAGAAUAAGCACCGGCUAACUACGUG